rnacentral:rRNA from 1 species
AUGUAAGUGGUAGUGAUCUGAAAAGUGAACGACCCUUCGGGGAGCUUACACAGGUGCUGCAUGGCUGUCGUCAGCUCGUGUCGUGAGAUGUCGGUUAAGUCCGCUAACGAGCGCAACCUCACUGUGUGUUACAUGUGUCACACGGGACUGCCGGUUUUUAAGCCGGAGGAAGGCGAGCGAUGACGUCAAGUCAGCAUGGCCUUUAUAUCUUGGGCUACACACACGCUACAAUGGUCUGUACAAUAGGUUGCCAAGCCGCGAGGCGGAGCCAAUCCUUAAAGCAGGCCUCAGUUCAGAUUGCAGGCUGCAACCCGCCUGCAUGAAGAUGGAGUUGCUAGUAACCGCAGGUCAGCUAUACUGCGGUGAAUACGUUCCCGGGUCUU